rnacentral:rRNA from 1 species
UACGUAGGGCGCAAGCGUUGUCCGGAAUUAUUGGGCGUAAAGAGCGUGUAGGCGGCCCGGUAAGUCCGCUGUAAAAAGUCGGGGGGCUCAACCCCUCGAAAGCCGGUGGAUACUGUCGGGCUAGAGUACGGAAGAGGCGAGUGGAAUUCCUGGUGUAGCGGUGAAAUGCGCAGAUAUCAGGAGGAACACCAAUUGCGAAGGCAGCUCGCUGGGACGUAACUGACGCUGAGACGCGAAAGCGUGGGGAGCAAACAGG